AUGGCUGCAGCCAUCGAUACUACAAUAGAACCAGAAGCUCAAGUGGAAACCAGUCCAGAGACCAGCAGGUCUUCUGAUAUUUUCACCACUCAACACGCUCUACGGCAAGCUCAGAUGUCAAAGGAGCUGAUUGAGUUGAAUAAGGCCCUUGCACUGAAAGAAGCCCUAGCUAAGAAGAUGACUCAGAAUGACAGCCAACUACAGCCCAUUCAGUUCCAGUACCAGGUAACAUAUUUUCUAGAAAAACAUUUGUUCUUGUGUAUCAUCUUUGGCUGAAUGGAUAGAAAAAAAGCACACCAUUUUUGGCAAUGAAAAAAUAACAUGAUAUGCAUGAUCUGACAGUAGAAGUGUACUUUUU
rnacentral:lncRNA from 1 species